CACAAGGCUGCUGAAUAGGCAGGUGAAGGGGAAUCCUGCCCAGGGCACCGACACGCAGUUCUGAGGCCCGCACAGCCGCGGAGGCAAGGCCGCGCCUCCUCCCCGCCCCCGCCCCCAGCCUCCGGGGGAAGCAGGCUGCAGGAGCCUGACACCGAGAGCCCGCAGUCGCUGGGAGCCGCUCCAGGACACAGCCUGUGCUGUGUAAAGGUUUGAAUAAGGAGAGGGAGAGGAAAGGGCAGCCAGAGCGGUGGUUUGAGUCGGGAGAGUUUGAGCCUAGAGAUGGCUGCGGGGUGGAGGUCGGUGGAGGGGACCUGCAGUUACCUGCUUCUGUGCCUCUCUCCCUGCUCCACCUUGUUCAACCAGCCUGAUGUCCGGAGCGCGGACUCAACACCGCAAGGGCCUCCGGCCCCCAGAGCGGCCUCACGGGAAGGACCCAGGUUCCCUCUGCAAAUGGGGAUCCAGAGACCCAGAACAUUCUAGUUAACACCCCUGCUAGUCUGCAUUCUCCUGCUUCUCCUUAAUAUAGAAGUGCCUUUCCAUGCCCAACAUUUUUCCAAUCAUAAUGCCAAGAAAGGAAACCAUGGAAGAAAGAACCUAGUCCUGGGCCAUCUGGGGUGGAGGAAUAGACAAUGAGCAUCAUGCCUUUCCUAGGGUGAGCAGAGUCAAAGGACAACCAAGUACAGAGAAGAAUCUAGAAGCUGAUUUCUGUUUCCCAGGGUGUCAGAAAUCAGCAGUCCUGAGUAAGAUGCUACCUCUCAGCAUCCCUCCUAUCCUUUUCAAAAUACAGAAGUCUCAAAUAACCUGCUUUCCUGACUUCCAAUUUGUGACAGUUUCCUGUAGCCCAGUCACUAAAUUUACCGGAAAAACUAUAGUCCUGAAAGGUUA